rnacentral:rRNA from 1 species
GACGAACGCUGGCGGCGUGCUUAACACAUGCAAGUCGAACGGAAAGGCACUGCUUUUGUGGGGUGCUCGAGUGGCGAACGGGUGAGUAACACGUGAGUAACCUGCCCUUGACUUUGGGAUAACUUCAGGAAACUGGGGCUAAUACCGGAUAGGAGCUCCUGCUGCAUGGUGGGGGUUGGAAAGUUUCGGCGGUUGGGGAUGGACUCGCGGCUUAUCAGCUUGUUGGUGGGGUAGUGGCUUACCAAGGCUUUGACGGGUAGCCGGCCUGAGAGGGUGGCCGGCCACAUUGCGACUGCGAUACGGCCCAGACUCCUACGGGAGGCAGCAGUGGGGAAUAUUGCACAAUGGGCGGAAGCCUGAUGCAGCAACGCCGCGUGCGUGAUGACGGCCUUCGGGUUGUAAACCGCUUUCGCCUGUGACGAAGCGUGAGUGACGGUAAUGGGUAAAGAAGCACCGGCUAACUACGUG